UCCUUCGUUCUCGUUGAUUUUUCCUAUGUAUUCCCCCAGAUUUUCCUCUGUUUUCUCCGUCCUCAGGGUCUCGGAUGGUUGGAGCGGCCAAAUAGGGCUUGGAGCAGCCGACCAGGGAAAGGUUGGAUGGUAGCUAGAGUUUUGUGAUGGGCGUGCGUGUGCGUGUGUACAUAAGAGUUUAGAUAGAUAUAUUAGUAUUUCAUUUAAAUUUAAAUAUAAAUAAUUGUAUCUUAUCAGUUAAUAUA
rnacentral:lncRNA from 1 species